CAAACUCGCCUCGUGGCCCACUGUCAAGCUGUCAAGCUGUCUUGUUGUCAUAAAAAAUGAGGCGUCCUUUUGUAAAGGUAGCUCGUAGCCAAUACAUGGAAGCUGGUAGCCCUUCAGCAGUGGGAACGGGCUAUGUUUCGGCAUCCCUCCGGAACGCUACAAACGAUCGACAGCACGGUUCUUGUACGUGUUCGGAUUGCUGGAAUGUUGCUGGUAGCUGGUUGCUGGUAGCUUCAGCUGCGGGAAGGGCUGUGUUUCCUCAUCGUUCCGGUACGCCACGAAGGAUCAAAAGCACGGUUCGUGUACGUGUACGUGUGGAUUGCUGGAAGGUUGCUGGUAGCUGGUAGCUGGUAACCUUUCAGCAGCGGGAACCUUUCAGCAGCGGGUGUUUCCGCAUCCCUCCGGAACGCUACAAACGAUCGACAGUGCGGUUUUUUUUAUUGUAAAAAUAAAUAAAAGUAAAAUUGUUAGCAGCACGGCUCGUCUUCUUGUUAAAGAAGCGAAUGAGCUAGA